UAAACCUCAAUCCAUCAUCUUCAAACUUGGCAUGAACUGACUUUUUCUCAUCUAUUUCCUUAGAGCAUCCACAAUGGUGGGUGCGAUGGCCGGAUCGAACCCGGCCUAUCGCACCCACCACCAUUGCCGCACCCGGGUGUGAAGGAGGGGAGGCGAAGCUACGCACUCGUGAAUAGUGGGUGCGAUGGAGGGGGCGUGUAAAACACGCGCCCCUUUUCGGCCGGAAAAAAAAAAAAAAUUAAAAACUAGCCGUUUUCGACCGUUUUUACUUUUCCGUUGCAGAUUUUUAGGAUUUUUUAUUUUAUGUUUGUUUUAAUUUAAGUAAUUUAGGAUUUUAAUUUCUUGUAUUUUUUUUAUUUCUAACAAUGUAGGAUUUGAAUUUUAAUUCAAUGAAAUUUUAAUUUCUUAAUUAUUGUAAAAUGGAAACUAGAAUAAAACUAAUUCAAAAAUAAAAUAAAAUCUAUUACACCCAUAGUGAGUGCAAUACCAUUGUGGGAGUGGGUGCAAUAGAAGUGGGACCCAUUCUAUUGCACCCACUAUGGGUGCAAGCAUUGUGGAUGCUCUUACACCAUAUAAUCCACUUCCAUUUCUCACUGCCGACUUCAACGGUAAUUUUACAAAUUUCUGUAAAACUUAUAUAAUUGUUUUCAUAUGCAUAAAUAUUUACCUUUCUUUCAGUUUGUCUUGAUCAGAAACAACCAAACUCCCACAAAAUUCUUGUAAAUUCAAACAUGCAUAUACAGGUAUUAAAUUGAGAAGAAAUCGAAAUAGAAUUCAUAUUCACUGUUUUUACAAAAGGAAAAGUAGAAAUAGAAGAAUGAACUGGAAAGGGGGUUGUGGCAUAGAACAGGGGGAGGGACGAUGGAAUAGCGCCGCCGUGCGCUGUUGCUGGCGGAAGGCGGCGGCUGGCGGAAGGAAGAAGGGGCAGUGGUGCGGUGGCCUCGGCCGCCGCCGUUGUGCUGUUCCGGUCGGACAAAGGGAGGAGGCGGAUGGGCGGUGCUAGAUCUGGAAAAGGAGGGACGGCGGCUGGGCUGUGCUGCUGUCGACGCAGGGGCGGCGAUGGCGGUGCUGCUGCUAGCCGGGCGAGCGACAGGGGAGAAGCGUGGUUGUGGCGGUGGCUGGCGGAGGUGUCACCGGAGAAGGGUGGACGCUGCUGUUGGGUGCGGUGGGGGAAGAGUGAGAGAGAGACUAGAGGUGAGGAAAGGAGAGAGGUCGAAGGGAAGGAGAGAGGAGGCGGAGCCGCCGGCCUCCGGGGACGGCGCUGCCGUCCGGUGGCGGCGGCAGGAGGGCACAGAGAGCGAGAGAGAGUGAGCGGCAAAGAGGGAGAAGGGAAAUGGGAGCUGCGUGAGUUGUGUGGGUGUGUUGGAGAAUGAGAGUUAAAGUAGGGGAAAUGGGGAAAUGAAAUGGGCUUUGGGCUUAGUUUGGUUUUAAGUUAAUGGGCUCAAUUUCUUAAAUGAUUGGGCUAUAAUUUGAUUAACUAUUGCACUAAUUUAUUUAUUUUUUUUCAAAAGGCAUGCAUUUGCAUAUUAUUUUACAAAGAAUGUCAUAUUUGGGCUUGCAUUAUUAAUUUAAAUUUAGUUUUAAUUAAAUAUUGAGCCCAAACCUUUUUAUAAUCUAUUAGACAAUGAUUUUUAAAUGGUUUUAUGAUAAUAAAUUCUUAAGAUUUAAACUACUAUUAUUAUUUUUAAAGUUCAAUUAGGCCCUUAUAUUUUAUUAUUUGAAUUUAUCUGAUUAGGUGCGGCGCGACUAGGACGUUACUUUUAAUUGAUUUACUCAAGUUAGCAUUCAAGUUGAAGUUCAAGUUCAAAAAUUCAGGUUUUAAAGGUCGGAGGCACGUGGAAGGUCGAAUGGCGAAUCAAAUAUUUUGAAUUCAGUCUUUCUUAAAAAUGUUAUAUUUAGUAAAGUAAUUUUUGUUAAUAAAAUAUUUAUUUCACUAUUUUCUUGUUAAAUAUUUAUUUAUAAUCAUGAUUUUCCGCGUGCGUUUUCAUGUAAAAUUAAAAUGGAUUUGGGUGUCACACUCGGUCUCCCUCUCUCUCUUCUUUCCUAGCGAUGCCGCCUGCUAGAGUCCCUGCAUCUCCCGCUCUGCUACAGACAGUUCUUCGCGGCAUAGCGGCGUGUCGGAAUCUGCAGAUCUUGAAGCUGAGUGGAGUUGCAGAUGGUUCAUUUAUUUCGGAUGUUGGUCUGACCAUCUUGGCUCAGGGAUGCAAGAAACUGAUGAAGCUAGAAUUGAGCGGAUGCGGAGGGAGCUUUGAAGACAUUAGAGCUAUUGGGCAGUGUUGUUUGAUGCUGGAAGAGCUGACACUAUUCAACCAUCAUAUAUAUGAAAUGAAAGUGAAACAAAAUUUUCGAAUUGGGGCAUGAUAUUGAUACUUUCAAUAUAUGUAAAUGACACUUUGAGCUUUACUAAAUGAUACUAUUCUUGUUUCUUAUUUUUGAGAUAAUUUAUGCACAAAGAUGUUUUUUUUUCAAUUUUAUAUGAUCAAUGGUAUGUGCUUUGCUUUUCUUCCAUUUUAACACUAGAAAAUGACACGGUUAAUGGACACUUUUAACGGUAGAAAAUGACACGGUUUAGCUUAGUUGGUGGAGAGAAAAACAAUGACACUAUCAUUUAUUUAAAAUGAAACUAUGUUACUUGUUAAGUGACACUAUUAAUACUAUUUAAAAUAAAACUAUGUUACUUGUUUCAAUGAUACUUUUUGGAUAUAUAAAUGACACUACUUGGAAAAAAUAAUGUUUGUGGCUACAUUGGACAGGCUUUUGAAAUGGCAAUAGCUGAUAGUGGCUACAUUGCACCAGAUAAUCUACAACCUAGCUCUGGUAACUCAAAGGCUGAUGUUUAUGCCUUUGGGGUGCUGCUGUUAGAAAUUUUGACAGGAAGAAAGUCCUUUGACAAUUACAGUCUUCUUCUAUACAGCCUCGGUUUCACUUCAACUUCCCCAUUUCUGCUACUAUCUCAUACAGUAUGUGUGUGUGCAGUACACGAGCACCGGGAGAGCAGUCUCUGGCAAGAUGGGCUGCAUCGAGGCUUCACGAUGGCGCGUCAUUAGCACAGAUGGUCCAUCCAGCCGUUAAGAAUACAAUUCCCUCCAAGUCUCUCUCUCGUUUUGCUGAUGUAGUAUCUAUGUGUAUUCAGCCCGAGCAGGAAUUCAGGCCCCAAAUAGGCGAAAUUGUGGAUUCACUAAGCCGUCAACUGAAUCCAACAACAGCAGAUGUUGCAGAGGCAGACUUCGAACGAUCUUUCAGAUCAACCAACUCUAAAUUUUUUGGGUCUUCACCCACACAAAGCUACUACUCUGUGUAAUAUUGCUUUCAAGGCUUUUUGAGAGCAAUGAUUUGUUCUGAAACAUUUAUAACAUCAUUUUUGGCACUUUAUAACAUUUUAAAUGAUACUUUAUAUAAUUGACACUAUAAGGUUGAAAUAGGCACUAUUCGGAUAUAAAAAUGAUACUUUUAAUAUAGAACAAAUGAAACCUUUAAUAUAGAACAAAUGAUACUAUUUUUCUUAAUAAAUGAAACC